rnacentral:rRNA from 1 species
GGAAAGGUGAAAAGGACCCCGGGAGGGGAGUGAAAGAGAACCUGAAACCCUGUGUUUACAAGCUGUGGAAGUGCCUUAUGUGCACAACCGCGUACUUUUUGUAGAACGGUCCGGCGAGUUACGUUUACUGGCAAGGUUAAGUACUAUAGGUACGGAGCCGAAGGGAAACCAAGUCUUAAGAGGGCGCAGAGUCAGUAAGAGUAGACCCGAAACCGGGUGAUCUACCCAUGUCCAGGCUGAAGCUGCCGUAAGAGGUAGUGGAGGGCCGAACGCACAUCCGUUGAAAAGGGUGGCGAUGAGGUGUGGGUAGGGGAGAAAUUCCAAUCGAACCCGGAGAUAGCUGGUUCUCCUCGAAAUAGCUUUAGGGCUAGCCUCGAUUUAGUCUUAUGGAGGUAGAGCACUGAAUUUCCGCGGGGGCGUCAAAGCUUACCAAAGAAUAUCAAACUCCGAAUGCCAUGUAGAUGAUGAUCGGGAGUCAGACUGCACGAGAUAAGUUGGGCAGUCAAAAGGGAAAGAGCCCAGACCACCGGCUAAGGUCCCAAAGUGCGUGUUAAGUGGAAAAGGAUGUGGGAAUUCGAAGACAACUAGGAUGUUGGCUCAGAAGCAGCCAUACAUUCAAAGAGUGCGUAACAGCUCACUAGUCGAGAGUUCCUGCGCCGAAAAUGUCCGGGGCUGAAACACGACACCGAAGCCGUGGACUCGCAAUGCGAGUGGUAGAGGAGCAUUCUUAAAACCGACGAAGCUGUACCGGAAGGAGCAGUGGAGGGAUAAGAAGAGAGAAUGCCGGAAUGAGUAGCGAGAGAAAGGUGAGAAUCCUUUCGGCCGAAUAUCUAAGGUUUCCAGAGUAAAGCUGAUCUGCUCUGGGUAAGUCGGGGCCUAAGCACAGGUCGCAAGACGUAAGCGAUGGAUAACAGGUUUAGAUUCCUGUACCACGCAUUAUCAGAACUGUAGGGACGCAUGUGGAAAGCACGAGCCGGGAAUGGAAAGACCGGUACAAGCGGGGUAGGAGUUGUAUAGGCAAAUCCGUAUAACGAUCCAAAGACGUGAUGUGGAGUGAAAUAAAGUAACGAAGCGUGUGAGCCAUGUGCCGAGAAAAGCUGCUAUUGUGUAAUACGUGCCCGUACCGUAAACCGACACAGGUGGAUGAGGAGAGAAUCCUAAGGCCGACGGAAGAAGCAUUGUUAAGGAAUUCGGCAAAAUGACCCCGUAACUUCGGGAGAAGGGGUGCCUGCGAGAGCAGGCCGCAGAGAAUAGGCUCAAGCAACUGUUUAGCAAAAACACAGGUCUAUGCGAAACCGAAAGGUGAAGUAUAUGGGCUGACGCCUGCCCGGUGCUGGAAGGUUAAGAGGAGAGGUUAGCGCAAGCGAAGCUUUGAAUUUAAGCCCCAGUAAACGGCGGCCGUAACAAUAACGGUCCUAAGGUAGCGAAAUUCCUUGUCGGGUAAGUUCCGACCCGCACGAA